rnacentral:rRNA from 1 species
AUUGAACGCUGGCGGCAUGCCUUACACAUGCAAGUCGAACGGUAACGCGGGGGCAACCCUGGCGACGAGUGGCGAACGGGUGAGUAAUACAUCGGAACGUACCCAGUAGUGGGGAUAGCUCGGCGAAAGCCGGAUUAAUACCGCAUACGACCUAUGGGUGAAAGCGGGGGAUCGCAAGACCUCGCGCUAUUGGAGCGGCCGAUGUCGGAUUAGCUAGUUGGUGAGGUAAAGGCNCACCAAGGCUACGAUCCGUAGCUGGUCUGAGAGGACGACCAGCCACACUGGGACUGAGACACGGCCCAGACUCCUACGGGAGGCAGCAGUGGGGAAUUUUGGACAAUGGGCGCAAGCCUGAUCCAGCCAUGCCGCGUGUGUGAAGAAGGCCUGGUGUAAG